UGGGGAAUAUUGGACAAUGGGCGCAAGCCUGAUCCAGCCAUGCCGCGUGAGUGAUGAAGGCCCUAGGGUUGUAAAGCUCUUUCACCGGUGAAGAUAAUGACGGUAACCGGAGAAGAAGCCCCGGCUAACUUCGUGCCAGCAGCCGCGGUAAUACGAAGGGGGCUAGCGUUGUUCGGAUUUACUGGGCGUAAAGCGCACGUAGGCGGACUAUUAAGUCAGGGGUGAAAUCCCGGGGCUCAACCCCGGAACUGCCUUUGAUACUGGUAGUCUUGAGUUCGAGAGAGGUGAGUGGAAUUCCGAGUGUAGAGGUGAAAUUCGUAGAUAUUCGGAGGAACACCAGUGGCGAAGGCGGCUCACUGCUCGAUACUGACGCUGAGGUGCGAAAGCGUGGGGAGCAAACAGG
rnacentral:rRNA from 1 species